CACACAGCAAGUUGGAGGGCAGGCAGAGGACGGCGUGAUCCUACUCCCCCCUCUCCUACAACUCACACUAAUCAGUCACAGACAAAUGAGGGGAAGUGCUGCUGAGAAGAAGAGGGGCCUUGGGGGCAUCCAAGAAGUACAUGUGAGACCUGGGUAGACAUUUCAGGGAGGCAGCGCCGAGCUUAAUACAAGGAAGAACUUUCAACUUCUGGAAAACCCAAAGAUGGAUGUCUGGUGGUAGUGAGCUCCACAGCACUGGAAAAUGGAUGGAAGGUCCUGCACGCAGAGGGUACCCCACAACAGUGGUGAAAUGGGAGAGUAAGUGGCUUAUAGCCACAGCAAAUUCAUGUGUGCCUAUCCCUGAGCUCCCGUGACAGAGCAGUGCCCCCUACCGCAUGGAUGCUGGGACUGC